rnacentral:lncRNA from 1 species
UCAAGUGUCCACAGCAUCUCUGCUUUCCUACACCGUGCUCUCCUUUUUUUUUUUUUUUUUUUUUCCAUUUUUUAUUAGGUAUUUAACUCAUUUACAUUUCCAAUGCUAUACCAAAAGUCCCCCAUAUCCACCCACCCCCACUCCCCUGCCCACCCACUCCCCCUUUUUGGCCCUGGUAUUCCCCUGUACUGGGGCAUAUAAAGUUUGCAAGUCCAAUGGGCCUCUCUUUCCAGUGAUGGCCGACUAGGCCAUCUUUUGAUAUAUAUGCAGCUAGAGUCAAGAGCUCCGGGGUACUGGUUAGCUCAUAAUGUUGUUCCACCUAUAGGGUUGCAGAUCCCUUUAGCUCCUUGGCUACUUUCUCUAGCUCCUCCAUUGGGAGCCCUAUGAUCCAUCCAUUAGCUGACUGUGAGCAUCCACUUCUGUGUUUGCUGGGCCCCGGCAUAGUCUCACAAGAGACAGCUACAUCUGCGUCCUUUCAAUAAAAUCUUGCUAGUGUAUGCAAUGGUGUCAGCGUUUGGAUGCUGAUUAUGGGGUGGAUCCCUGGCUAUGGCAGUCUCUACAUGGUCCAUCCUUUCAUCUCAGCUCCAAACUCCGUCUCUGUAACUCCUUCCAUGGGUGUUUUGGAACACCGUGCUCUCCUUAAGGCGUCUGUAGUUUAGAGGAGUUAAUGAUCCAUGGAGGACAGGAAUUAGUGGUUAACUUCACCAGUCCAGGCUUUCUGAGUGAUGGUUCUAACGUGUAUAUACACAGUUCUUCAGCAGGAAAUGGUGGGUGACUGCCAGUCACCAUCAGGUCUGGGUGUCCUUUCUCAAGCUAGUUCAGGCAUAUACGGUAUUGGAUUUCUCUCUUUGGUGUUUUUUCUCCUUGCCUCAUCUCUGUGGCUUCUGUGACCACUCCUCAAACACACUGCCUGCCACUAUGUCCAUGUCUCACAUGGUGUGUUUAUGUAGGAUGUUACCUAGCAGGGAGAAAACAAAUGAGUAGCCUAUGUGGAGAUCUUGUGGACAGUAUGCCUUCAGUGGGAGGUAGGAGAGCCAUUUUGAAGGAUGUAUGGAAUCCAUGGAGACAAAUAUUGUAUGGCUAGAUUAACUGUAGUUUCUGCAGAUGAACAGGGUCGCCUCUUUCUUCUCAAUAUUUAGGAUGAUUUAUAUAUAACUUGGGUAUGGGAAGUAUGAGAUGUGUGUGUGUCCUUUUCAAUGUUAAGGAUGAGAGUACAUAACUUGAUCUUUCUAUUGUCUCAGAGAAAUCCAUGUCGAUACUUUUUGUGAAGCUGCCCUGAGUUCUUCUCCCUUCUCAGCCUAAGUAGGUGGUUUUCUUUGUCAGGGAUGUGUACCAGUUCCAGUCAGUAACUUGCGUUUCCCUGCCCACAGUUUCCUGGUUGGGGAUGAUGGCAGAGUAUAUGAAGGUGUUGGUUGGAAUGUCCAAGGCUCUCACGACCAGGGCUACAAGAACAUCUCCUUAGGUGUUGCCUUCUUUGGUACCCAAGAAGGUAAUGGCACCUCAGCUGACAGUUCUUCCAAGAGAUUUCUGCUGCUCUGACUUGAUGGCCUGCUACCCUCUCUGUUUUUCCUGGCAUGUUUUUCUCCCUUGGUUUCUAGAAUGCACCAUGUGAUGUUCUUCCUUCUGCUCUGCCUUUCUUCUAUGUCUCUGCCACAUUUCUUUUAUUCCCCAUUAAUUAAUUUAUUCACAUUCCAAUUGCAGUCCCUCUUCCUCACAGUCCCUGUCCACAUGGCUUUUCUCCCCCUCCCCUCCCAUUCACCUCUGAGAAGGGGGAGGUCUCCCUGGGGAACCAACUUACCCUGGCACCUUAAGUCACUGCAGGACUGGGUACAUUCUUUGUCACUGAGGCCAGAGAUGACAGCUCAGUUAGGGGAGCAGGAUCUACAGGCAGGCAACAAAGUCAGGGACAGUCACUCUAGUUGCUGGGGACCCACAUAAAGACCAAGCUGCACCUCUGGUAUAUAUGCUCUGCCACAUUUUUUUCCUUGAACUCCCAGGCUUCACUAGGCGAGUCCCUCUUGCUCUUUGCACUGGGCUUCUGUCUGCUAGGUUCUUGCUCUGUUCUUCUUCAGGUAGAUCUGUGGUUUGUGUGUUAUAACUCUGUGUUAGUGGCCAUUGCACCUUUUUUUCCAGGACCGACAGGUCUGUAGCUGCAGGCCAGAUGGCUCUCUGUUUCUCACUCAGAUUUUCUAUCCAUUAAAACAAGAAAAACACCUUGAUGCUUCCAAUUAGGUAUUUUUCUUGUUGCUGUAACUAAACACCAGAUGAAACCAACUU